ACGGAAGGCAGCAGUGAGGAAUAUUGGUCAAUGGUCGGAAGACUGAACCAGCCAAGUCGCGUGCAGGAAGACGGUCCUAUGGAUUGUAAACUGCUUUUGUACGGGAAUAAAGUUCGGGACGUGUCCCGAUUGGAAUGUACCGUAAGAAUAAGGGUCGGCUAACUCCGUGCCAGCAGCCGCGGUAAUACGGAGGACCCGAGCGUUAUCCGGAUUUAUUGGGUUUAAAGGGUGCGCAGGCGGCUUUUUAAGCCAGUGGUUAAAUCGUGACGCUCAACGUCAUCACGCCAUUGAUACUGGAGAGCUUGAUUGCGGUCGAGGUUUGCGGAAUUCGUUGUGUAGCGGUGAAAUGCAUAGAUAUGACGAAGAACACCGAUUGCGUAGGCAGCAGACCAGGCCGUAAAUGACGCUCAUGCACGAAAGUGCGGGGAUCGAACAGGAUUAGUACCCUGGUA
rnacentral:rRNA from 1 species